UUUUGGAGGUGUCAAUGUUGUCUUUUUCACCUGAAUAUGGCCCUAAGCUGAAGGAGGAAUAUGUGAUGGUGAAGCAUCUACCUAAAAUUAAGAAGGAUGAAGACUCCCGAAAGUGUUGUUUGUCUGACUGCUUUCAUUGUUAUAAUGACAAUUGGCAGAAGGUGUGGGCUGUACUGAAACCUGGAUUCUUGGCAAAUUGUGAAACCUGACACAAAACAAUAUUAUCCGAGCUGUGAGGAUUAUGAUUCUAGUGUGGAUUGUUUUUCAGCUCCAACCAAGUACGUGAUUUGGAGUAGUAGAAUAAAUACUCAUGUUUGGCCUGCAUAUGUUAUAAGCUUCAGGGUUCCUUCAUUCAAAGACUUAAGCAGAUGGACCCUGUCAUCAGUGGGCGUGGUGCUGAACCUGUAUUUCGUGAUAACUAAGGAAACGAUAUUCUAAAAGUACUUCCAUAUACUUUCUCCA